UACGUAGGGGGCUAGCGUUGUCCGGAAUCAUUGGGCGUAAAGCGCGCGUAGGCGGCGCGGUAAGUCGGGUGUGAAAUCUCGGAGCUUAACUCCGAAACUGCAUUCGAUACUGCCGUGCUUGAGGACUGGAGAGGAGACUGGAAUUUACGGUGUAGCGGUGAAAUGCGUAGAUAUCGUAAGGAAGACCAGUGGCGAAGGCGGGUCUCUGGACAGUUCCUGACGCUGAGGCACGAAGGUCAGGGGAGCAAACGGG
rnacentral:rRNA from 1 species